rnacentral:tRNA from 1 species
AUUCAAAUAGUUUAAGGUAAAAACAUUAAUUUGUGGGAUUAAUAAUAUAAAGUUUAUUUUGGAUA